AACACACACACACACAUUGAACAAAGGUAAUCAAGGACAAAGAAUCCUCAAACGCCACUUGCCAUUGGUCAGACAAAUUCUAAUACAAACGUUCCAACUGAAACUAAUGUAUUUUUUUUUAUCAUAAUGCAAAAAUGGCAUGUUUGACUUACAAGUUUGUUUUCCAAUAAAUUAUUUGUUACAAUUUGAUAAAGUAUUCAUAUAACUGUUACCUAAUCUUUAGCUAAAUAAUAUAAUAAGAUAAGUUCAAACCAUGUUGUCAAGGUUACCCGGCCCACUUCAUAGAUUGUAAUUGACGGCUAGUGAUUUGGUCAUUUUAUUUCCGUUACAUAAUUUAUUUGCCUACCCCCCCCCCCCUUCCAAUAC